rnacentral:sRNA from 1 species
CAAAAAUCAAAAAAAA